rnacentral:rRNA from 1 species
AUAAAAUUCUGGGUAGGAUUUUGAUGAUGACAUUAUUUACCCAUAUGUCUUGACCAAAUUACGUGCCAGCAGUCGCGGUAACACGUAAAAGACAAGCGUUAUUCAUCUUUAACAGGUUUAAAGAGUACUUAGACGGUAAAUCAAGCUAUAAAAGGAACUAAUUUGCUAGAGUUACUUUUGAGGGGGCAUUAAAGUACUAAUGGUGGAGAGAUAAAAUAUUAUGAUACCACUUUUCAAAUGAAAAAAUAUGGCACUGGUAAAGGCGAAAGCAUCCCCUUAUCUGAUAACUGACGUUGAAGGAGGAAGGCUUUGUAUCGCGAAUAGGAUUAGGUACCCUAGUAGUCAAAGCAGACAAUGAUGAGUGUUAUAGAUUAGACAGCGAAUUUAGUGUAUAAAUGAAAGUGCAAGCACUCCACCUUAAGAGUAAAGUGGCAACACCGAAAUUGAAAUCAUUAGGCCGUUUUUGAANNNNNNNNNNNNNNNNNNNNNNUAAUUUGAUAAUCCACAAAAAACCUUACCACAAUUUGAAUAUUUAUGUCAUUGAUAUAUUUACAAGCGUUGCACGGCUGUCUUCAGUUAAUGUCGUGAGAUUUGGUUAGAUCCAUUUAAUUAACGUAAACCCUUUCAUCACUUAUAAAUGGUGUAAUCUGUCUAUAGCAUUGGACAUGGUAAUAGGGACUAAGACAAGUCAUCAUGGCCUGAAUAUUGU